rnacentral:rRNA from 1 species
AACGAACGCUGGCGGCAUGCCUAACACAUGCAAGUCGAACGAGACCUUCGGGUCUAGUGGCGCACGGGUGCGUAACGCGUGGGAACCUGCCCUUAGGUUCGGAAUAACUCCCCGAAAGGGGUGCUAAUACCGGAUAAUGUCUUCGGACCAAAGAUUUAUCGCCUUUGGAUGGGCCCGCGUUGGAUUAGCUAGUUGGUAGGGUAAAAGCCUACCAAGGCGACGAUCCAUAGCUGGUCUGAGAGGAUGAUCAGCCACACUGGGACUGAGACACGGCCCAGACUCCUACGGGAGGCAGGAGUGGGGAAUAAUGGACAAUGGGCGAAAGGCUGAUCCAGCAAUGCCGCGUGAGUGAUGAAGGGCUUAGGGUUGUAAAGCCCUUUUACCCGGGAUGAUAAUGACAGUACCGGGAGAAUAAGCUCCGGCUAACUCCGUG